AUUGAACGCUGGCGGCAGGCCUAACACAUGCAAGUCGAGCGGAUGAAGGGAGCUUGCUCCUGGAUUCAGCGGCGGACGGGUGAGUAAUGCCUAGGAAUCUGCCUGGUAGUGGGGGAUAACGUCCGGUAACGGGCGCUAAUACCGCAUACGUCCUGAGGUAGAAAGUGGGGGAUCUUCGGACCUCACGCUAUCAGAUGAGCCUAGGUCGGAUUAGCUAGUUGGUGGGGUAAAGGCCUACCAAGGCGACGAUCCGUAACUGGUCUGAGAGGAUGAUCAGUCACACUGGAACUGAGACACGGUCCAGACUCCUACGGGAGGCAGCAGUGGGGAAUAUUGGACAAUGGGCGAAAGCCUGAUCCAGCCAUGCCGCGUGUGUGAAGAAGGUCUUCGGAUUGUAAAGCACUUUAAGUUGGGAGGAAGGGCAGUAAGUUAAUACCUUGCUGUUUUGACGUUACCAACAGAAUAAGCACCGGCUAACUUCGUG
rnacentral:rRNA from 1 species